CCUACGGGUGGCAGCAGUGAGGAAUAUUGGUCAAUGGACGCAAGUCUGAACCAGCCAUGCCGCGUGCAGGAAGACGGCUCUAUGAGUUGUAAACUGCUUUUGUACGAGGGUAAACGCAGAUACGCGUAUCUUUCUGAAAGUAUCGUACGAAUAAGGAUCGGCUAACUCCGUGCCAGCAGCCGCGGUAAUACGGAGGAUUCAAGCGUUAUCCGGAUUGAUGGGGUUUAAAGGGUGCGUAGGCGGUCGGAUAAGUUAGAGGUGAAAUCCCGAGGCUCAACUUCGGAAUUGCCUCUGAUACUGUUCGGCUAGAGAGUAGUUGCGGUAGGCGGAAUGUAUGGUGUAGCGGUGAAAUGCUUAGAGAUCAUACAGAACACCGAUUGCGAAGGCAGCUUACCAAGCUACUUCUGACGUUGAGGCACGAAAGCGUGGGGAGCAAACAGGAUUAGAUACCCCUGUAGUC
rnacentral:rRNA from 1 species